CCGGAAUACUGUCUGGUAUCAAACAAAAUCAAGUUGCCAGCGACAAACAAACGACAUAUUAACGGGCAUUGAUAUUUACGUAACAGUGUUUCUCGCCCGAACCUUUUAUAUAUAUAUUUAGAAACUAUUACCAGCAAGCCAGUCAACUCGGUGGGAAGAAACGAAAUCACCAGUGUGAAAACAAAAAAAAAACCAGUGUGGAUGCAAGGUUCUGCAUUGAUCUUUUCUCGCCAUUUUGAGCAGGAUCCGUUCGUAAUUGUUUGAACGUAACCGUGUCUACGACAUGUGCAUAGCUAACGUUCCAUGCUAUUAAGUUGGAAAGUUCGCAAGCUCUUUUUUAAAAACUCCUUCUUCCACUUUUCCUCACUUGUUUUUUACUUCUAGCGUACCGCUCGGAUGCACUCGACCAGUGCGCUGGAAUCAUAUUUUGCAAUGCUAAUUGAAACGAAUCUCUUAAAGAUGUUCUGAGUGGAAUUAGUACAUUUUCGACACCUGCUACACUAGGCAUUUCUUCGAGGCCAAAACAAUGCCGAAACAAUCCAGGACAUUUGUCUUGUCAAUGAUAACGACGCUAGCGCUAAAGUGACUGCUCAAGUGUGGUUUUCCAUGUUCGAUAACAGUGUUCGGUGCCUAGACGAUGCUCCUCGUUCUAGCCGCUUAAAUUUAAAGACAAUUAUUUGACAGCGCUUUUAAAGGGAGAUGGCCAACAGACAACUUGAUCGUCGUUACUAAGUGUCACACGGCCACAAUGACCGAGUUUUGCACAGAAUUGUCGCUGGAGCUGAAAAAUGGUAUCAGCACGCCAACGUAAAUUAGAGAUUGGAACAGAUGGCUUUAGAAAAAAGCCAAUGGCCAGGGUCCAGCCAGCUAUUCAUACAAAAACGAUUGUGCCUUGUGUUAAGAGUGAAAAAUGCGUCCGGCGUUCCAAAAACAAAGAUACGUGACUGACAUUAGAGAAGUACAGACUACGUCUGCUCUGACGGAGUUGCUCAGGUAUUCAAACGUAACCGCCUUCUUUGCUGCGUUAAUUCGUCACUCACUGGCGUAAUACGUUCAAGUAUAUGAGUCUGUCGUAGCUCACAAAUAACACCGCACGGUGACAAACGGGUAAUUUCGUCGUAAGUGGUAUAUACUCUCAUAAUAGCUUUCACGCGGAUGAUUGAAGGACCAGUCACAUCGUAACUCAAAAUUUAACAAAGAUAAGCUGAUUAAUAAUUAUUGCAGUGUCAACUACCAUUUACACUCUAAAUGAAAUGUGCCAAAAAAUAAGAGUAAAACGAUUUUCGUAACUUCCUAGAAAUAAAAUUCAAUAUAUUAUAACUUAAACCACUGCUACAAAACUCUCUAGUCAAACCGUCGAACGAUGUCGUCCCAAAUGUCUAGCUGUGAGGAGCCGCAUUAGACGCAAGCAUCUAAAGCUGCCAACUCACUACAAAUUGCUCCCAGCGGAGCAAAAGUUCGAACCUAAAAUCCAUUAACAAAUAAAAGUCUACCAAGGGGAAAAUCAGCAGUCAGAAACCAGGUGUCCAUAUGCUAUUUCUAAUAGUUAAUCUCUUCAUUACCCAUCCCUUGUAAAAAAAUAUCUUAAGAAAGAUCCUUGAGUCAUGUUUAGAAGGUUUUCGCAAAAACAAAGAAAAGUGUUUUAAUUGCUGCCCGAAUGUAGAAAGACGCCAAAAUAGACAAUCCGAGCGUUUAACUGUCCCAAUAAAUGUCAGAGAUGACUAGCAAGCUUAGUGCCAAAGACAGAACUCAUAUGAAUGACUAACGAGAAACUCAAGGAAAAGACCAUAAUCCCCAAAAGGAGUCACCCAAACAAACCUUGGCCUUUGUAUUUCUUUCCACAAAGACCUGAUGGGGCCGGGGUAUAUUGAGAAUAAUUAGACAGCGUACUGGAGAGGGCCGAAUCAUUCAAACAGAUAGAACGUACCUUUAAGUUUCUCUUCAGUUGUGUAGGAGUGUUCAAUAUGAAAUACUACGGAUGGUCAGCAUGGCGACAACUGGCAUUAGUACGAUGUCUG